CCUAGAGAUAGAUUGGUGCCUUCGGGAACGUCUGACACAGGUGCUGCAUGGCUGCCGUCAGCUCGUGUCGUGAGAUGUUGGGCUAAGUCCCGUAACGAGCGCAACCCUUGUCCUUAGUUACCAGCACGUUAUGGUGGGCACUCUAAGGAGACUGCCGGUGACAAACCGGAGGAAGGUGGGGAUGACGUCAAGUCAUCAUGGCCCUUACGGCCUGGGCUACACACGUGCUACAAUGGUCGGUACAAAGGGUUGCCAAGCCGCGAGGUGGAGCUAAUCCCAUAAAACCGAUCGUAGUCCGGAUCGCAGUCUGCAACUCGACUGCGUGAAGUCGGAAUCGCUAGUAAUCGUGAAUCAGAAUGUCACGGUGAAUACGUUCCCGGGCCUU
rnacentral:rRNA from 1 species